rnacentral:piRNA from 1 species
GCGGGAUGCCUGGGUGACGCGAUCUGCCCG